rnacentral:rRNA from 1 species
CUCGUAGCUUGCUAUGAGAACAGUUAGUGGCAGACGGGUGAGUAAUGCAUAGGAAUCCACCUAGUAGUAUAGGAUAGCCACUAGAAGUGGUGGGUAAUACUGUAUAAUCCCCGCGGGGGAAAGAUUUAUCGCUACAUGAUGAGCCUAUGUUAGAUUAGCUAGUUGGUGGGGUAAUGGCCUACCAAGGCAGUGAUCUAUAGCUGGUCUGAGAGGAUGAUCAGCCACACUGGAACUGAGACACGGUCCAGACUCCUACGGGAGGCAGCAGUGGGGAAUAUUGGACAAUGGGCGCAAGCCUGAUCCAGCUAUGCCGCGUGAGUGAGGAAGGCCUUAGGGUUGUAAAACUCUUUCAGUGGGGAAGAUAAUGACGGUACCCACAGAAGAAGUCCCGGCAAACUCCGUGCCAGCAGCCGCGGUAAUACGGAGGGGGCAAGCGUUGUUCGGAAUUAUUGGGCGUAAAGGGCAUGUAGGUGGUUUGGUUAGUUAAAGGUGAAAUGCCAGGGCUUAACCCUGGAGCUGCUUUUAAUACUGCCAGACUGGAGUCCGGGAGA